CCUACGGGAGGCAGCAGUGGGGAAUCUUGCGCAAUGGGCGAAAGCCUGACGCAGCCAUGCCGCGUGAAUGAUGAAGGUCUUAGGAUUGUAAAAUUCUUUCACCGGGGACGAUAACGACGGUACCCGGAGAAGAAGCCCCGGCUAACUUCGUGCCAGCAGCCGCGGUAAUACGAAGGGGGCUAGCGUUGCUCGGAAUUACUGGGCGUAAAGGGAGCGUAGGCGGAUAGUUUAGUCAGAGGUGAAAGCCCAGGGCUCAACCUUGGAAUUGCCUUUGAUACUGGCUAUCUUGAGUGUGGGAGAGGUAUGUGGAACUCCGAGUGUAGAGGUGAAAUUCGUAGAUAUUCGGAAGAACACCAGUGGCGAAGGCGACAUACUGGCCCAUUACUGACGCUGAGGCUCGAAAGCGUGGGGAGCAAACAGGAUUAGAUACCCUGGUAGUCCACGCUGUAAACGAUGAGUGCUAGUUGUCGGCAUGCAUGNAUGUCGGUGUCGCACUAACGACAUAGACACUCCGCCGUCGGGAGGUACGGUCGCGAGAAUAAACUACAAUAGAAGUAGUACGGCGUGAGACGUCGCCGACGGACGACGACGAGGGAGGAGG
rnacentral:rRNA from 1 species